AAUUAUCUAAAGCAAUUAUGCUGUUAGCCUCCAGAAGACAUGUCACAUGAAGCUAAACAAUUUAAGUGGUUAGACGGAGAUCUGUUUUGAAAUUAUAUGAAGAGAAGGAUAUUGGAAGACACAAAGAACUGGCUUGUUAAAGAAAAUCAGAACUAAUCAAUGACAUAAUGGAUUAUCUGAGCAAGAAGUGUGUUUUCAUCAAAACUUCAGGUUAUGAUCUUUCCACUUAUACCAACUAAAUAAACAUGACAGCAGACACAGUUUCUUUUCUCUGGACUGUCUGUGUCAGUGCUGACACUACCUCAGUUUGAAAAAAGAGAGCAAAAAAUAAAGUCCACAUGUGUCCCCAAGGUAGCACCAGCCUGUUUGAG
rnacentral:lncRNA from 1 species